rnacentral:rRNA from 1 species
UACGUCGGGUGCAAGCGUUGUCCGGAAUUAUUGGGCGUAAAGAGCUCGUAGGCGGUCUGUCGCGUCUGCUGUGAAAACUCAGGGCUUAACCCUGAGCUUGCAGUGGGUACGGGCAGACUAGAGUGCGGUAGGGGAGACUGGAAUUCCUGGUGUAGCGGUGAAAUGCGCAGAUAUCAGGAGGAACACCGGAGGCGAAGGCGGCUUGCUGGGCUCGGUCUGACGCUGAGGCGCGAAAGCGUGGGGAGCGAACAGG